rnacentral:rRNA from 1 species
UGAGGAACAUGACCUUCGGCGGGGGAUAGCCGGCCCAACGGCCGGGUAAUACCGCGUACGACCACUUUGGGACAUCCCUCGGUGGUGAAAGCAGCAAUGCGCCGAUGGAGUGCCUCGCGGCCUAUCAGCUAGUUGGUGAGGUAACGCUCACCAAGGCGACGACGGGUAGCUGGUCUGAGAGGAUGGCCAGCCACAGUUGGGACUGAGACACCGGCCCAGACCUCCGUACGGGAGCAG